AUGGAGCCACAGGGGUUUAUUUCUCAAACUUCAGCUUCCAGCCCUUGUCAGAUCCUCUCUGGGCCCUUGUUCCCUGGAGCUGACAUGUUGAUGCUUUCAGUUGUAUCUGGUACUGGAGGCUGGUACUACAACAAUGAUUUGGGAGAUCUUGAGGAGUGGCAAGAAUGGGCAAGUGCCUUGAAAGUCUUCAGCAAGGAAGGACUGAUGCAGGAAGCAGUAAUUUCAAUGGACACUGAUUUGGAGCAGCAGUUUUUAAGGAGUUGUGUAUGUUGUUUCCACUUAUGCUAAGCCAGUUUAUAUUUUGUCCUGACUCUUUUACUUUCCUUCUAAAAUUGUACCAUCUUUCAACUUUGGCCUCACAAAGCUGUCGACUAAAUAUGUGGGGGAAUUCUAAUAAAAUAUAUUUGAAUUAGUAUCA
rnacentral:lncRNA from 1 species